AGCCGCGUGGCAUAGUGGUUAAGUUCUUGCACUGCCACUCACAGAGUCAGGAGUUCGAUCCCCCUGGGGGUCA
rnacentral:tRNA from 1 species